rnacentral:rRNA from 1 species
UCGGGAAUAUUGGACAAUGGGCGCAAGCCUGAUCCAGCCAUGCCGCGUGUGUGAUGAAGGCCCUAGGGUUGUAAAGCACUUUCAACGGUGAAGAUAAUGACGGUAACCGUAGAAGAAGCCCUGGUUAACUUCGUGCCAGCAGCCGCGCUAAUACGAAGGGGGCUAGCGUUGUUCGGAAUUACUGGGCGUAAAGCGCGCGUAGGCGGAUUGAUCAGUCAGGGGUCAAAUCCCGGGGCUCAACCCCGGAACUGCCUUUGAUACUGUCAAUCUAGAGGUCGAGAGAGGUGAGUGGAAUUCCGAGUGUAGAGGUGAAAUUCGUAGAUAUUCGGAGGAACACCAGUGGCGAAGGCGGCUCACUGGCGCGAUACUGACGCUGAGGUGCGAAAGCGUGGGGAGCAAACAGGAUUAGAUACCCCCGUAGUCC